rnacentral:lncRNA from 1 species
GAAGGCCAGUACUAGAAGGGACAAGAUCUGGGCAGGACAAGGGAGGAUAUUUGCAAAAACUUAAAACUUCCAGGAAGAUGGGGGGAGGGGAACCCUCCUAGAGAGAUUUUUAAAGUGAGGUUUUUUUAGGUUAAUGCCAUUUUCUUCCUGUCUUACUCGCUUAUGACAACCCCAAUGAAGUUUUAAGCUGGACUCUGGCAGUAAUGUUAAGUAGAGAUUUUCUCGGCCAACUUCAUAUUAUUUAGGGUUCUAUUCUUCCUUCACCUUGAACACAGAUGUGCCAUUCUCUGCUUGGAUGCACACAGAAUAUUCUUGCUCACAGAAUAACUCAGUUGAAGCCCUGAGCAUGUAAAAGGAGGCCUCUCUUAGCAGCUGGGAAGAGAGAGUGGAGAGAAAGAGGGAUCAGGACAGAUGUGGACACGGCAGAAGAAGAGGAGCCUGCUGUGACGGACUUCCUUGAAAUGACAAACAAAUGUUUAUUUCUAAUGAAUUGGACAUUACAUUUCCAAAGUUAUAAGAUGGCCAACAGACCAUGAAAAGACAAUUAUUUAGUCUCCUGCUUGAAACCAACAGCUUCAGCAAACUGCUGGCCUUGAAUCAGGACCAACCAUUCUUUUUAAUACAUACGGAAUACUUUUACUAGAACAUUCUGGCUUCAAGCAAAGCAUACUUAUUUCAUGCAAUAGGGACAGAGGGUCACUCCUGCUGAUAUCUUCUUUUGCAUCAUCUCACAUCUACCUACCUACUGGUUGGAUGAUCCUAAGCUAAUUACCUCACUCCUCUAAACUGCAGCUGUCACAUAAGCAGGUAUUCUUGGGCUCUCUCUCCUUAGCUCUUUCUUGUGGUCCAGCCAGAAUCGUGCCAGGUGUGGAAACUGGAAGUCUAGAAAGAAAAGUUUCCCACUGCUCUGAUGCAGGUCCUCCUCCUGGGUGAGGAAAACAACAACAUCCUUGAACCUAGGGCAGCACCUUGGUGUCCAUCUCCUCUUGCCUGUGCCUGGUCUUGGGAUAUUGGUGCUGGGCCUUCAUUUUAUUGGGUGCACCUUUGAGAGUAGAUGAAGAGCUACCAAAUUAUAAAUCCCUGAUUGGGUGUCUCUCUUAAUAAUGAACAGCUUAGGAACCCUUCUACCUUGUUUCUGGGGCCAAGGCUACUCUUCUCACAGGAGUUUCCAGAGUUAUGUUUCAUUCUUAUAAAAUUAUGCUUCAGAAGCCAUAAUACAUGGGUGCCCACUGGUGAGGAUUUCUUAAGAUAAAGAUCCUGGGCUCUACCCCUUGAGACUGAAUCAGUAGGUCUGGGGUAAGGCCCAGAAUUUAUACUUUAAAAAAGUAACACACCAACUUUCAGUUCCAGUCUGGCAUGUAAGAAGCUUGGAAGUUGUCACUCAGCCCUAACAACAAGUAAAAAGCUGAAUAAACCAGGCACAGCGACUCUCAUCUGUAAUCCCAGCACUUGGGGAGGUUGAGGCGGUUCCAAUCACUUGAGCCCAGGAGUUCAAGACAAGCCUGGGAAACAUGGUGAAACCCCAUCUCUACAAAAAAAUACAAAAAUUAGCCUGGUAUGGUGGCGCACACCUGUAGUCACAGCAACUUCGGAGGCUGAAGUGGAAGGAUCACUUGAGCCCAGGAGUUGGAAGUUACAGUGAGCCAUGAUAGUGCCACUGCACUCCAGCCUGGGUGAGAGGGUAAGACUCUGCAACAACUCUUUUUAGAUCUCUAAGAGAGGUUAGAUUAUAGGGCAAACUGCUGUCCCCCAAAUUGGAGAGACCAACAGGGGAAUACAGAGAAUCACAACUCUGUGAGCAGGAAACCAUGAGUAGUAACCUCUGCAGCAACCGGUGCCCAUGUAGGAAAAUCUUAACUGUAAUUGAUGAAUUGCUGGAGGCUGAGUGUGGGCAAGUCAAAAACUCCAGGGGGACUCAGUCAUUAGGAGACCCCCACAUUUUUGUGUUUUACCUUUAGAAGCUCUACCACACCCCCACAGUGAAUAUUGGAGAAAAAUCCUGUCAUGCUUCUGCCAGGGGAAGGGGAAAAGAACUAUUUAAAAAUACACCAGAACACUCUGUUCUUCUGAACGUGGUCUGCUCUUAGGAGGAACUGCUUAGCCAGAGCCUAAACUUCAGGGGUUUUACCAACGCCUAACUGACCUGGAAGAAGGGAAAUACCCAAUUCUAAGUAAACUAGGAAUAGAGGGAAAUUUCCUCAACUUGAUAAAGAAUAUCUGAAAAAAACAAAAACAAAAACAAAAAAAACCCAAACACCCUACAGUUAACAUCAUACUUAAUGAUGAGAAACUUGAAGCUUUCCCAUAAAACCAGGAGCAAGGCAAAAUGUUUCCUCUCUCCACUGCUUCUGAAGAGCAGAUGAAAAAUUCUAGAUAAUACAGCAAGAAAGAAAAAAGAAAUAAAAGCUACAGAUUGGGAGGGAAAUAACAAAACUGUCUUUGUUUGCAGAUGACAUGAUUGUCUAUGAAGAAAACCUGAAAAAAAUUGGCAGAAAAGUCUCCUGGAGCUAAUAAGUAAUUAUAGGAAGGUUGAGGAAUACUAGGUUAAUAUACAAAAGUCAAUUGUUCUCCAAUAUACCAGUGUCUUAGUCUGUUUUAUGCUUCUACAACAGAAUACCCAAGACUAGGUAAUUUAUAAAGAACAGAAAUUUAUUUCUUACAGUUCUGGAGGCUGAGAAGUCCAAGGUUGAGGGGCUUACAUCUGGUGAGGUCCUUCAUGUUGUGUCAUCCCACGGUUGAAGGCAGAAGGGCAAGAGAGCAUGUAUAUAGAAGGAAAAGGAAGGAGAGGGCAGGGGGGAGGGAAGGAAGAGGAGGUGGGAGGGAAGGAGGGAGGCGGAGGGAAAGGGAGGGGAGGGGAGCCAAAUUCAUUGUUUUAUUAGGAACCCUAACCCACAAGAAGCAUGAAUCCAUUCAUUAGAACAGAGCCCUUCAUGUCCUAAUCACCUCUUAUAGAUCCCACCUCUCAGCACUGUUGCAAUGGGGAUUAAAUUUCUCUUCAUAAUAUAUUCAAUCCAUGACAACCAGCAAUGAACAAAUGAAAUUUGAAAUAAAAAAAAGUAUUUCCCCAAAAUAAAAUAUGUAUAAAUCUACCAAAAUAAAUACAAGAUCCAUGUGAGAAACACUGAAAAACUUUAAUGAAAGAUAUCAAAGAGGAACUAAACAAAUGGAAAAAUACUACGUGUUCGUGGAUGGGAAGAUUCAAUGUUGUCAAGAUGUCAGCUGUUGCCAACUUGAUCUAUAGAUUCAGUGUAAUCAAAAUUAAAAUCCCAGCGAGCCAUUUUGUGGAGAUUAACAGGUUGAUUCUAAAGUUCAUCUGCAGAGACAAAAGACCCAGAAGUGCCAACACAACAUUGAAGAAGAAUAAAGUUGGAGGACUGACACUAUCUGACUUCAAUAGUUAAUAUAAAGCUAUAGUCAUCUAGACAGUGUGGUAUUGGUAAAAGAAUAGACAAAUAGAUCAGUGGAACAGAAUAGAGAGCUCAGAGAUAAACCCUGCAGAUAGUGUAUGUCAAAGGAGCAAAGGCAAUACAAUGGAACAAAGAGUCUUCAACAAAUGAUCCCAGAACAACUGGACAUCACAUACACACAAAAAAUGAGUAAGACACGACCCUUACUUUCUUCACAGAAAUUAACUCAAAAUGGAUCGCAGACCUAAAUGUAAAAUGUAAAACUGUAACACUCCUAGAAUGUAAUGAGACAGGAGAAAAUCUAGAUGAGUAUGGGUAUAGUGAUGACUCUUUAGAUACAACACCAAAGACAUAAUCCAUGAAAGAAAUAAUUGAUAAACCAGACUUCACUAAAAUUAAAAAACUUCUGCUUUACAAAAGACAAUGUCAAGAUAAUGAGAAGAUAAUCCAAAGACUGGGAGAAAAUAUUUGCAAAAGACACUUCUGAUAAUGGACUGUUUUCCAAAAUACAAAAAAAACAAAAAACAAAAAACAAAAGAAAACCUCUUAAAACUCAGCAAUAAGAAAACAAACAACCCAAUUAAAAAAAUGGGCCAAAGAUCUUAACAGACACCUUACUAAAGAAGAUAUGCACAUGGCAAAUAAGCAUAUGAAGAGAUGUUCCAUAUCAUAUGUCAUCAGGGCAAUGCAAAUUAAAGCAACAAUGAAGUACCACUACAUACAUAUUAGACUGGUCCAAAUCUGGAACACUGACAACACCAAUUGGUGGUAAGGAUGUGGAGCAACAGCAACUCUCAUUCAUUGCUGGUGGGAAUGCAAAUUAUACAGCCACUUUGGAAGAUAGUUUUGUAGUUUCUUACAAAAUAAACAUUCUCUUACUAUAUAAUCCAGCAAUCAUGCUCUUUUGGUAUUAUGUCUACACAUAAACACGCAUAUGGAUGUUUAUGGCAGCUUUAUUCAAAAUUGCUAACACUUGGAAGCAACUGAGAUGUCCUUCGGUAGGUGAAUGGAUAAAUAAACUGUGGUACAUCCAGACAAGGGAAUAUUAUUCAGCACUAAAAAGAAAUGAGCUAUCACAUCAUGAAAAGACAUGGAGGAAACUUACAUGUAUAUUAUUAAGCGAAAGAAGCCAGUCUGAAAAGGCUACAUACUGUAGGGUUCCAAGUAUCUGAGAUCCCGAAAAAGGUAGAACUACUGAGACAGUAAAAUGAUCAGUGGUUGCCAGGGCUUAAGAGGAAAAGGGAGAUGAAUAGGUGGAGCACAGAGGAUUUUUAGAGCAGUAAAACUAUUCUAUAUGAUACUAUAAUGGUGGAUACAGGUCAUUAUGAAUUUGUUCAGACUCAGAGAAUGUACAACACAAAGUGAACCCUAAUGCAAACUAUAGUCUUUGGGUGAUAAUACUGUGUCAAUAUAGUUUCGUCAAUUGUAACAAAUGUACCACUGUGGUGAAGAUGUUAAAAUUGGGGGAUGUUGAAAAUGCCUGUGUCAGCACUGGGAAUAUAUGAGAAAUCUCUACCUUCUGCUCAGUUUUGUUGCAAACCUAAAACUGCUCUAAAAAAAUAAAAUCUACUUUUUUAAAAAAAGCAGCACACCUGAUUUUAUAACUAACCAGGUUGGGAAGGGCAAACAUAUAAAUCUUCUGGAUAGUCCUCUUUGUUUAACUUCACCUUUCUAAAGAGCAGCAGCUGGGUAGGUGUUGGCUGCUUUUCCUGCUAUGUAAAUGACAGGCCCUGGCCAGGAAUGCUUAACAGACAGGUGUGUCCCAGCCUCUCCCCUACUUUUACCCGUCAGUUGUUUUUAUUCCUAGGCUAGGUCUAAGGUGGAAAGCUUUUCCUAAGUAGGGGGUUGUGUUGGUCUUAAGGCUUAUCUAACUUGGACAUAGCCUCUUUAAGGAAAAAAAAAUCAAUGUAUGAAUAUAAAAUUAAGUACAAAGGCCCUCAGAAGAGGUCUGUAAAAAUGAGGAUUCUAAAGCUUAAGCUUUAUUACUUUCACAGCAGAUUUACCUCUGUACAACUUUCUCAUUUUGGAGCAAAUCAAAAGACUCUGUUUUACAAAUUGUCUAUGUUUUCAAUAUAUAUUAGUUAAACUGAAUUUUUGAAAUAAAAAGAAGAAAAAACCCCCAUAGAAAUGGAUCAUUUUGGCUGAGAACUGCAAAAACUCUGGGCACAAACACGUUAUUCACCCUCUCUUGAGAGACUUAGCCAUACUUUAGCAUGGCUUUUAGCAGCCUGAGCCUUGUCUCUGGGAAGACUCAAACACUUUUUGAGUUCCUCUCCGGAAGAGUUCAGUCCCUAACCUCCCUUUCUUGCAGCAUUUACUAAAAAGGGCUGACAAUUGUGAAUCUUUCCUCUGUCCCUUCCAGAUGUGUAUGCAUCUCCUGCAACUCAGGAGUGUCUUUCUCAAGGACUUGAAAGCCAUUCCUUUGAAAUAUAAUCCUCAGGAAGGUUAGGGCCUCUGUCUCAGUCUCUGUGGGAGGAUAGCAGCCUAACUUCAAUAACUGCCAGCAAGCAUUCACAGUUGGCUUAACUGUAUUUGCAUUGACCAACCUUUUGUAAUUUUUCACUUCCCUGAUUCCACUGAGCCUCCGCUCACGCCUCUCCUACUCUCUCAUUCUCCUUUAAAAACACCCAGUCACCUCUGUGCAAAUCUGAAUGGAGCUCAGCCCUUUCCCUUGUUGUCG